GAUGAACGCUGGCGGCGUGCCUAAUACAUGCAAGUCGAGCGAACAGACGAGGAGCUUGCUCCUCUGAUGUUAGCGGCGGACGGGUGAGUAACACGUGGAUAACCUACCUAUAAGACUGGGAUAACUUCGGGAAACCGGAGCUAAUACCGGAUAACAUGUUGAACCGCAUGGUUCAACAGUGAAAGACGGUCUUGCUGUCACUUAUAGAUGGAUCCGCGCCGCAUUAGCUAGUUGGUAAGGUAACGGCUUACCAAGGCAACGAUGCGUAGCCGACCUGAGAGGGUGAUCGGCCACACUGGAACUGAGACACGGUCCAGACUCCUACGGGAGGCAGCAGUAGGGAAUAUUCCGCAAUGGGCGAAAGCAUGACGGAGCAACGCCGCGUGAGUGAAGAAGGUCUUCGGAUCGUAAAACUCUGUUAUUAGGGAAGAACAAAUGUGUAAGUAACUAUGCACGUCUUGACGGUACCUAAUCAGAAAGCCACGGCUAACUACGUG
rnacentral:rRNA from 1 species